rnacentral:hammerhead_ribozyme from 1 species
GCUAGCUGACGAGUCUCAAAUAGGACGAAACGCGCGUCCUGAAU